GAUGAACGCUGGCGGCGUGCCUAAUACAUGCAAGUCGAGCGAACGGACGAGAAGCUUGCUUUUCUGAUGUUAGCGGCGGACGGGUGAGUAACACGUGGAUAACCUACCUAUAAGACUGGGAUAACUUCGGGAAACCGGAGCUAAUACCGGAUAAUAUUUUGAACCGCAUGGUUCAAAAGUGAAAGACGGUCUUGCUGUCACUUAUAGAUGGAGCCGCGCUGCAUUAGCUAGUUGGUAAGGUAACGGCUUACCAAGGCAACGAUGCAUAGCCGACCUGAGAGGGUGAUCGGCCACACUGGAACUGAGACACGGUCCCGACUCCGACGGGAGGGAGCAGUAGGGAAUCUUACGCAAUGGGCGAAAGCCUGACGGAGCAACGCCGCGUGAGUGAUGAAGGUCUUCGGCUCGUAAAACUCUGUUAUUAGGGAAGAACAUAUGUGUACGUAACUGUGCACAUCUUGACGGUACCUAAUCAGAAAGCCACGGCUAACUACGUG
rnacentral:rRNA from 1 species